rnacentral:rRNA from 1 species
UACAGAGGGUGCAAGCGUUGUUCGGAAUUAUUGGGCGUAAAGGGUGCGUAGGCGGUGCGGUAAGUCUGUAGUGAAAUCUCUGGGCUCAACUCAGAGUCUGCUAUAGAAACUGCCGUGCUUGAGUGUGGGAGAGGUGAGUGGAAUUCCCAGUGUAGAGGUGAAAUUCGUAGAUAUUGGGAAGAACACCGGUGGCGAAGGCGGCUCACUGGCUCAUUACUGACGCUCAGGCGCGAUAGCGUGGGGAUCAAACAGG